rnacentral:lncRNA from 1 species
UAUUUAGGUCUUUCCACUUUUCCGUGGAAAGACCUAUUGGAUUUCUUCUGAUUAUUAGGUCUUUCCACCUUUCCGUGGAAAGACCUAUAGGUUUUGUUCUGAUUAUUAGGUCUUUCCACCUUUCCGUGGAAAGACCUAUUGAAUUUGUUCUGAUUAUUAUUAUUAUUAUUAUUUUUUUUUUUUUUCUUCCGCCUAAUUUUUUUCUUGCGUAUUAUUGAUGUUUCAAAAGAUGUGCCUUAGAUAUUUGGAAUAUAGUAUCGUAUAGUUUAUAUACGCUUUAAAAAUUUACAACUGCGUAACAAAAUACUUUACGUUGUAAGAGUUAUCUCCCCAAACACUGUUUUUCUUGUGGCCACUACUCCUUCGCAACCGUAAAAGAUUACGACAAAUUUAUUUUACCAAAUUGCUCGUUACAUCUUCAGGAUUAGGAUAUUCAUUUGGACCGAAGCUUUACGGAGACUCCAUAUGAGAGUUAUUCCCCCUUUUCCAUUUGAAUUAAGUGAUAUGCAUUUCUAAAUGGUAAACCAUAAGUGAUAAAGACCUAGGGUCUUUAGAUUU